GUCAGCUCGUGUCGUGAGAUGUUGGGUUAAGUCCCGUAACGAGCGCAACCCUUAUCCCUAGUUGCCAGCACAUUAUGGUGGGAACUCUAGGGAGACUGCCGGUGACAAACCGGAGGAAGGUGGGGAUGACGUCAGGUCAUCAUGGCCCUUACGGCCAGGGCUACACACGUGCUACAAUGGUCUGUACAAUGGGUAGCCAAGCCGCGAGGCGGAGCCAAUCCUGAAAGCAGGCCUCAGUUCAGAUUGCAGUCUGCAACUCGACUGCAUGAAGCCGGAGUUGCUAGUAACCGCAGGUCAGCAAUACUGCGGUGAAUACGUUCCCGGGUCUU
rnacentral:rRNA from 1 species